AAGACAAUGACCUCAAUUUGGACUGCAUGAUUUAAAGAAAUACCGCCUAGCUCUGAUUAGUUCCCAAGGAGGGAAACCGGUUUUCUCUAUGUUCCGACUGUCCUUAUCAAGAGGCAUCGUCUCUGGUACGGGGGCUUUGGUACAUCCUGAGUCCCAUUAGACAUCGUCUCCCACAGACCUCAAGCGCAUGGAACUGAAAAUGAUGGAAAUGAAGGAUCUCCAAAAAGCUGAAGCUGUGCUGAGGUUUAAAAAUGAAAACUCUUUCUCUUCAAAUUGGGUGCUACUUCUGGUGUUACUUCCAUGCUGUACGCACACAACAGAAGAAUAAGGCUGCAUGAGAAAUCCACAAGUUUCUGUGAUCAGAGUGUACCAUGCUUUGAAUCAUAGAAUGAAAUGACAACCUGUAUCCAACUAGAAACGAACCCUGUUGAACUCAAUGGGGCUUUUUUUCUGGGAAAACAGAGCUGGACUAGGAGCCCAUGUGAUUUGCCAGUAAUUCAAAACUGGCUAGAAACUAAUCAAACUUUGGGAGAAGCCCAUUGUGAAGAAAUGAAACUCGUACUUGUUAAGACCCAAAGCGCACAGCAGAAGAAUCCCCAUCACUUCGGCGGACAUUAUAAUCUAGUAGGAGUAAAAGAUAAAGAUGCCCUGAGUUGCAGCUCACCCAAGCAUAUGCUUUU